UUGAACGCUGGCGGAAUGCUUUACACAUGCAAGUCGAGCGGCAGCGCGGGGGCAACCCUGGCGGCGAGCGGCGAACGGGUGAGUAACAUAUCGGAACGUACCCUGUCGUGGGGGAUAACUACGCGAAAGCGUAGCUAAUACCGCAUACGCCCUGAGGGGGAAAGCGGGGGACCUUCGGGCCUCGCGCGAUUGGAGCGGCUGAUGUCGGAUUAGCUAGUUGGUGGGGUAAAGGCCUACCAAGGCGACGAUCCGUAGCUGGUCUGAGAGGAUGAUCAGCCACACUGGGACUGAGACACGGCCCAGACUCCUACGGGAGGCAGCAGUGGGGAAUUUUGGACAAUGGGCGCAAGCCUGAUCCAGCCAUGCCGCGUGAGUGAAGAAGGCCUUCGGGUUGUAAAGCUCUUUCAGCCGGAACGAAACGGUACGCUCUAACAUAGCGUGCUAAUGACGGUACCGGCAGAAGAAGCACCGGCUAACUACGU
rnacentral:rRNA from 1 species